UACAUAGGGGGCAAGCGUUGUCCGGAUUUAUUGGGCGUAAAGAGCGUGUAGGCGGCUUUACAGGUCCGUUGUGAAAACUCGAGGCUCAACCUCGAGACGCCGGUGGAAACCGUAAAGCUAGAGUCCGGAAGAGGAGAGUGGAAUUCCUGGUGUAGCGGUGAAAUGCGCAGAUAUCAGGAGGAACACCCGUGGCGAAAGCGGCUCUCUGGGACGGUACUGACGCUGAGACGCGAAAGCGUGGGGAGCAAACAGG
rnacentral:rRNA from 1 species